rnacentral:lncRNA from 1 species
GUUGUCGUGCGGUGACGUCAAGCCCUGAUCAGACUCUAUGCAAAGCGCCCCACGAUGCGCGUGCUGCUGAGAGCACAAGGAGGAGAGAGGAGGACGGACACUUAGCAGCCUGGCUAAUGUAGCCUGUGGGGUCGCAAAAUAUUUGUAAAUACAUUUAUUUGGAAAUGAACAACACUUCAGAUCUGGAAAUCGGACUGGGUUGCCUAAGGCGUUCAACGUGAGAUGCUUUUGGGAGUCUUGUUUCGCCACGUGUCACAGACCCACAUGUCCUCGUGGAAUUCAUCUAUGCGUUCUUACAGCUGAUAUUGCUGCUGUGUUGGCCAGCGACCACCUCUCUGCAUUAAGUCAAACUGUUAUCAGCCCUCCCGGACAUGUAAAGUGGAGCCGAGAGGAUAAAGUCAUCCUGCCAGUGAACAACAACCUGAAAUUGGGUCAGGUAGUUUUGCCAAGCAGCUGGAACAGCAACCAACAGGCACAUUGUUAGGCAUAUCUUCAUUACUUUAUGUUUCAAACACUAUUUUUGGCAGUUUUUUAUUAGUAGGGAUGCACAAUAUAUCAGUACCAUAUUGGAUAGAGAUUUUUAAAAUUUUCACAUUGGUUGAUAUUGGAUAUUGAAUUGUGCAUGGUUUAAUAUUUUUUUUGUUUUAAAUUUCAUUAAACUGUCUGCAUACUUUUUUUUUUAUGUUGUUAAACGAAGUCUCUUAUGCUC